rnacentral:tRNA from 1 species
ACCUAGAUAGUUUAAGAAAAAAUAUUGGAUUGUGGGGUCAAUGAUAUAAAGUUUAUUUUAGGUA